UCAGGAGGCCUGGGUUCGAAUCCAGACUUCCCCACUUGCUGGCCGGAAUACAGGGUGUCCUCGUUCCUCCUUUUGUGCCUCAGUUUCCUGAUCUGUGAAUUAGAAAUGUGGUAAUGCCUCAGAAUGCUUAUUAUGAGGCAGGACCUUUGAAAAAAGCACUAAGAAUGCAUGCAUGGUGCUGGAGAGACCUGGGUUUUCUGUAUUACUCCUAGCACCCCAUAUAGAGAUGUACUCAAAAUCUCACAUCAUAAAACAAACCAGCAACCGUCAAGAGCUUCCCAUGAGCCAGCCUUGUGGUAACUCUCCUUCAUUUAACCCUCUUCAUACUCCGGAGAGGUAGAGCUCAUCACCUGUGUUAUACAGAUAAGGAAACUGAGGCUCAGAAAGGGGGCGUGGCUUCCUAAGGUCACAGUGCUGACCAGUGGUAGGUUGGCAUUAGAACCCCACACGCCUGGACUCUGAAGCCCACUCCCCGAAUCCCUGCUCCAGGGACUUCCCGGCUGGGCCUCUAUCUGGCAAGAGAACGUCUCUUAUCAGAAGCCACAAGUGACGGUCAGAUCAAGGCAGUGCUCAGGGCCAGGCGCCAAACAGGGAGCCAGAAGCGGAGGAACGGGCUGCCAGCGGGAGGAGAAGGGCCAGAGGAGACGGAGACCAGAGCCCGGAGCUAGGACUCCGACACCAAGCACAGGUUAGAGGAGCAGGACGCCGAGGCGCUGGAGCCUGGGCCUCUCGCACCUGUCCGCAGUUGGCUCCAGCCACUCCAGCCACGCUGGGAGGAAUUAAGGAAGGAGUGCAUGGGGAAGGAAGAAAAGAGAGAGGGGCCCCUGCUUAGACCGCAAGCUCUGUUCUCUGUGUGAUCAUGGGAAGCAUGCCCCACUGCCACCACCACCAAACCAAGGUGAAGAGACUGCUAGUAGCACCUCUCCCAGAGCCCAGAGUGAUACGAACCCACAACCGACCAGGUGGGUGUUCCUUGAGUGUUUUCCUUGAAUGUCCUCCCUACAUCAUACUCUAGAAACAUCCUAUAAAGGCCUUAGCCCUUAAGAUCUGGAUUUAAUCAGUGGUUGAAACUCAUCCUCAAAAAGCCAUAAGACAGUAAAGCAGAUCAGAACAGUGGAGACCAGCUGGCUUCAUAGUCUGCAGAUGGAAAAACUGAGGCCCAAAGACAAGAGGUGAUAGACCCAUGUGAAAGAGUGACCAACCCAGAAAGAAGACUCUGCCUUCCUGGCUUCCUGUCCAGUGCUUAUGCAGUACUUUCUUUGCCCUCAGUAGAUUUUUCCAUAUGGGGUUCUCUUUUUCCUAGUCAUGUCUGUGUCCUCAGAACCAUCUCUGUGAAGAAUUAAAGGCAAGAGCCUUGAGACAAGCUGGAAGGGGGAAAGGUAACACGCCAGACACCACAGGAGAGUGGCGACAGCAGACCCACAGCAUGGCC